GACUAACAAGUGAUUCAAAACCCUAUUUCUCUUCUAUAUCCGUAAACCCCUGUUCUCAAAACCCUAUUUUUGUUAUGUGUCUAUAAACCCGUUUUCUCAAACCCUAGUUCUCUUCGUAUCUUCAAAAUCCCUUUUCUUCAUAACCCUAUUUUCGAUUUCAAUUCUCAUCAGAAGUCCUUCAGGUGCAGAUUAAUCUUCAGAAGAGGUGCAGUAAUUUCUCAAAGAUCUU